UACGUAGGGGGCAAGCGUUGUCCGGAAUCAUUGGGCGUAAAGAGCGUGUAGGCGGCCAGAUAAGUCCGCUGUGAAAACUUGAGGCUCAACUUCGAGCUGUCGGUGGAAACUAUUUGGCUAGAGUCCGGAAGAGGAGAGUGGAAUUCCUGGUGUAGCGGUGAAAUGCGCAGAUAUCAGGAAGAACACCCGUGGCGAAGGCGGCUCUCUGGUACGGAACUGACGCUGAGACGCGAAAGCGUGGGGAGCGAACAGG
rnacentral:rRNA from 1 species